rnacentral:rRNA from 1 species
UACGUAGGGACCAAGCGUUGUUCGGAUUUACUGGGCGUAAAGGGCGCGUAGGCGGCAUGACAAGUCACUUGUGAAAUCUCUGGGCUUAACCCAGAACGGCCAAGUGAUACUGUCGCGCUAGAGUGCAGAAGGGGCAAUCGGAAUUCUUGGUGUAGCGGUGAAAUGCGUAGAUAUCAAGAGGAACACCUGAGGUGAAGACGGGUUGCUGGGCUGACACUGACGCUGAGGCGCGAAAGCCAGGGGAGCAAACGGG